rnacentral:lncRNA from 1 species
GUGUUAUACAGGAAUAAGGGAAUAGUUGCUGGAUUUUUUUAAAAAAUAAAAUGACUUCAAUCGGUAGGUAUUUAUGGAAAAACACUAGAAUCUUUAUAAAUAUCUUUAUGCUUAAAUAUAUUUUAAUUGGCUGCACUAAUAAAAGAGAAGGACUUCAACAGAAGCCUUGGGAUUAAUAAUUACUUUGCUAAAAAUGAUGAAUUCUUGGCUGGUGUGUUUGCAGGGAUCGGGCUGUGAGUCCCUGAAUGGCUGGAACCCUGGCAGAGAGGAGCCCGGAGUGUCGAAAGAGGGGCAACACAGACCAGAUGCAUCCUACAGAGACGGGAGGACUCCGAGCUUGGGGAAGAGACAGUUAAAGCUUCCCCGUGAGAGCGAGUUAUAUCAUGCAGCGCCAGUGCCAGGUCAGCAGUCUGGCUGGAGCUGGACCGGCUGGUGGCGCCAGGCAGUGCCAAGCACCCCUGGCAGCCCUGCAGAGGGUUCUCAAAUCCAGAUUUCAUUCUGCAGUCCCGGCAGUGCUUUGACGACUGCCUCACUAAAGGAAGCUAAAAGCUGUGCCGAUGCCUCCCAGACGAGCCUCGUUGGAAGCACAGAACCUUCACGACUCGGAGCCGCUGACACGGUGACAAAGGGAGCCCUGCUCAGGAGAAAAAGUAGACAAGAGGGAGAAAUUGAAAUUCAAAUAACCCAACACUCAGGCAGAUUGCCCGGCAGCAUGCGUACCUCUCACCAGCACAGUGAGGGAGGGGCCUGCGUCACUCCACAGAUGAGGCGCAGAGUCCCGCAGCUCCUAACGGGUGGAACUAGGAUUGGAAACCACUCCUCCUGGCUCAUCUUUUCCUGCUAAGAGUGCUGCACCAGCUCUGGAGGAAGCCUCAGGAGCGGUUACACGGGUCUCAGCUGCCUGUGCAUUUGAGUGGCCAUGGAGGAUGGAAUUUACGCUGCUGGCAUAAUCAGAGCCACUGCCCCUCAUCCGCAGAGGAGACACACCAUCCUGUAAUUGCAGAGCUCCCGUGCCUCGCUUUCCAAUUGGUCAUAAGCUGGAGGCUGGUGCUCUCUCUCCUCACCCUUCAGAUCCAAGUUCCCCAACUCCUCUCACCGCCCCCAGCCACCCCUUUAAUGACCCAUAAACAAGCAGCUACAUGCACCAGGCUCUGAGGGGCUCCAGCGAGGGGAGGAGGUGACUCUUCUGAAGAAGGGCUGCACCCGAGUUACUGAGUCAGCGAAAAGGCACCUUUCUCCAGGCCUAGAGCAAAACACAAUCAGCUUUCGCAGGAGUGGUUUCCGGGGCCAUGAGCUUGGGGGACAGGGCUGGCUGCAAUGGGGGCUGCCAAGGGCCCAGGUUCUGUGCUGGAAACAAGAGCACUCUGAUGGACUCGGAAAUACGGCGCUGAGGUGGGUGGGCUUUAGUCGGAACCACCGCCCCCACGUUCCUGCCCCAGGCUUCUCUCUCAGGCUUUCCUUCCAGGCCCUGCCAUUCUGCAUUCCUUAGUAAGCGGCUGUAGUUCCACUUUAGGCUGCCAGGAAGCCCCCUGUUCCCCUCUUCCCCCAGCUUUACAGCGUUCAUUAUUUACCUUCCAUUUUGCACAGUUAUAUCGCUGGAGUUUGAGAACACUUUCUAUGUGUAGAACAAGCAUUCGCACAUGCCACAACAUACAGUGAGCUGUUUUGUGCCAUGUGUUGUGCUCCUGUAUGCAAAUUAAAGAUGAAGUUAACAUUCUCUGUUGCUGGCUUUUCCCAGUGUGUGGGUAUCCAUUAUAGACUUCAAUUCUUUGUAAAUAUUUCAAAGGAAGAAAUUCAGAGAGAUGAUGUGAAGGUUGUGAAAUUCCCCAUCAUAAAAUCAGAAGCUGAUUAAAGCUGGAACAUGCAAAGCCAAUAUUGAUUUCAGCAGCAAAACCAAAAUCAGGACAAGCAGACACAAUAUUUUCAUAGUUAAAAAAGAAAAUGAUCUCAUGUGAAGAGAUGUUAUCACCGUAACAUGUGAUAUGAUGUAACUUGAGGAUGCUUUUGGAUACACUGCAAUAAUUCAGCUAACGCUACCAUAAAAAUGAAAGAAAUUUUUCCACAUCUGUAUUAUUAGCAAAUGAAUUAGGCAAUUAAUAAUUUGUUUGCUCUAAAAUGUCAUUUUCAUAAACACAAUUUAAGCAUUGUAUUUUUAUGAUGAUAUCUUUCAUUUUAAAGUUAUUUUUAAUUAGUGUUUAUUGUAUGUUAAUGCGCUCUCUUUCUGUUCCUUUUUUAUUGUCAGAAGUCCAUACCAGGUAGAGAUAAUUUUUGCUGGCUACUAUAAUAUAUAAUCUUGUUAGAAUAUAUUGGCCCAUAAUAACAAAUUGUGCAUUUAUCAUAGUAUGUGUUUUACCAAAAAAAAAACUCCUUUAAUGUAACCCUAUUACAGAAAAAAAAAAUCAGUGUUUAUUAUUUUGGUCCGUUUUUAUUUUUGUUUUUUAAAAAGUGCUUUCACAAAUACAGAAUAAUUAAUCUACACAUGCUCUAAAAUAAGGACUCUAGUAAAGAUAGCUGCAGAAACAUAGAUCGAAAAAUCACUUAUGUUGCCUGAGGGAGAUGGUUAGGAAACAGUACUGAGAUAAGAUAUAAUUUAAAAUGGGUUUUGAAGAAUGCAUAGGAGUUUGUCAAACUGUAAAGGAAGAGAAGGACAUCUCAUAGUGUACAGCCUAGACAAGCAAAAAUCUAGAUAGAGAAGUACAUAGUAUAUAGUGUCAGAACAGUAGGAGCUAGAAAUAAAAAAUACGAAAUCUGUGUAGUGCAACAAAAGCUAUAACCCCAGAAGAAAGGCUGCAUGUUGAUAAAUACAAAAGGAGGCCAGGAGAGGUGGCUUGCUCAUGCCUGUAAUGUAAUCCUAGCACUUUGGGAGGCCAAGGCAGGAGGAUCACGUGAGGUCAGGAGUUCGAGACCAGCCUGACCAACAUGGUGAAACCCUGUCUCUGCUAAAAAUACAAAAAUUAGCCAGGCAUGGCAGCAGGCACCUGUAAUCUCAGCUACUCGGGAGUCUGAGGCAGGAGAAUCGCUUGAACCCAGGAAGCAGAGGAUGCAGUGAAUUGAGAUUGCGCCAUUGCACUCCAGCCUGGGUGACAGAGUGUGACUGAGUCUCAAAAUAAAUAAAUAAACAAAUAAACAAAUACAAAAGGAGACAGUGAAAUUGAGCUAGGCCAUGAGAAUGGGAUUUGAGCCCCCCAGCUUUCUCCGUUCUAUUCUCACCUCUGUCUUCUCCAAAGCAGCCCAGCUUUGGUGCUCCAUGUUGGUGGCUGCAGGAGGCUUCAGAUCUAAUUUAACUGGUCUUUUCAGGGCCACCUAUCAGCUUGCACCUCCUCCAGGAAACCGUCCUGGCUCUCCAGCUCCCGUAGGCAUGUUCUUCUCUAACAUCUUGCAGUCCCUUCUCGUGAAUAUUUAGAAUCAGUGGCUCCUGUCCUUCUUCUUCCCAUUUUCCACUUCUCAGGUCUCUCAGUUGGCCUGAAGCGCCUUCCAGACCCAAGAACUUCCCACUUCCUCCACGUUCUGGCUCACAAAUUGAAUAGAGAUGCUUGUGGGGUACACACAGCCGACUGCUAAGCAGCAGGGGUAAACCCCCAGGGCUGAGCAGGCCCAAUCUUAGUACACUUGGAACCAGACACUACUGCCAGGAGGAUUGUGCUGACCCAUUGUCCUGCUACUGAAGCGUUUGGUCCGUGAACCAGCAGCAUCAGCGUGCCCUGCAGGCUUGUUGGAAACGCAGAUUCUCAGGCGCCACCUCCAGACCCAUGUGACUUGUAUGCACCAGGAAGUCAGAGAAGCUCUGGUGUUGCCCCCACACGCUACUCUCCUGGGUUAAGCAGAGCCAGGUCUAGGUAAAGAGAGGAACUUCCAGCAGGGCCUGGCUACUUUCCUGGCAGGGAGCCUGGCGCAGCAAUGGUAGUGGCAUUUAAUCCUGCCUGCACACAGGCAUCGUCCAGUGUGAACUGAUGCCGGGCCCUCUUCUCAAAGAUCUGAUUAAAUUGGUCUGGGAUGUGCCCAGGAAUGGGUCUUGUUUUGUUCCCAGAUUAUCCUAAUCUGUGCCCAGAGUGGACCCAGUGGUCAUCAUAGGAUAGAACAUUCUCCUCCCCAAGAGAACAAGGGAUGAGGAGGCCAAGCUGUCCCAUUGGCAUGGCCUUCAGCUGCCAGGGCCAGGUUUCUUUAAUCAGCCUGGCACAGGGUAGCUGGGCACUGAACAUGCAGACUUGGCAUGAACCCAGGCCAGAGAGCAGCUUCCAUGGGGAGCCAAUAUUAUAACUAUAUCAGUGGAGAGGCUC